rnacentral:lncRNA from 1 species
AGGCAUAAAAGUGUUAAGAAAUCUCCCAAGCUCUUGCAGAUAGUAAAUGACAGUCAGGAUAAUCUUGGACCUGCCUAACACCAACGACAAGCUCUAAACCACUGCGCCAUAGUACCAUCUGUAACCAGCCUUCUGGUCAACCCUCCUUAACCAGCUCCAAAGUCUCCACUCCUAGCCUUUCCAAUAAAAUACUGGACCCUAUUCUACUCUUUAAUGUCCCUUAUUCCCAGGUAUAGACAUGGGCUCUCCAUCCCCAGCCUUCCAUAUCGUCUUUUGCACUUACAGGAUGGCCAACAUUCACACAAGUACUAACAGUGGGUCUCUGGUCAAACAAAGGACUCACAUCAGAGGAAACUACUAUUUCCCAAGCGGCUUCCUUCUUCCCAAGUGGAGGUGAUGGGAGCUUUCUACUUAGAUCCUCACCUCCAACUGCAGUGCCAGCCCUGCCUGAAGAGCACCUGAAGGCAAAAUUCUCUGCAAUGAACAGCGUUACUUUUAUAAACUGGGGGAGAAAAUCAAGCUCGUCUCCAGGCCCUCAGUCACUGUGCCCUGAGAGGCAUUCCCCUGCAUGUGCUGCUCCCUCUGCAGCUUGUUGACGCAAGAAUGGGCUUCCCAAGAAAUGUAACAUGGUGCUGGCUCCCUCUGGCCAGCAAAUCAAGGUGGCCUCCAAGGAGAAAGAGCGGACAGUUUUCAAGAAACAAAAGCAUCAUCUUGGGAGUCUAGGGGCCAGAUCGGACCUUCUGAUCAGAGUCAGGGAAAGAGAUGUGUGUGCACUUCUACCCUAGGACCAGAGGAGAAAAUGAAGAGCAAGUCCUUCAGCAGACGAGAAAGAAGCUAAGGAGAGAAUAUCAACAUCUCAGGGAUCCCAGAGGAGAAGUUUUAAGCCAGGAACCAAGUAACUAGACAGAUGCUUCCAGACUCAAAGCAGCACCCAGCAAGACUUGGCGUCUGAGCUGCCAAAGCCAGACCAUCUACUCCCAGCCCCUGUUCCUGCCAGGAUCCACCUCAGACUUGGAGUAAAGGAGCUCUUGUUGUACCAGAGGCAGCAGAC